rnacentral:tRNA from 1 species
GCCACCGUAGCUCAACUGGCGGAGCAAUGCAUUCGUAAUGCGUAGGUUAGGGGUUCGACUCCCCUCGGUGGCU